ACCUUCUCCCAGAUUUUUGUUGGAACUUAUAGCCGUUUCCAGGAAAAGACUCGAGCAGGGAGAUUAAGUGCAUGUCGCAAUCGAAGAGAACGUUGGCAGAUUUGACCAUUGUUAUUUGAGGCUUCAUCGACACUU
ensembl:snoRNA snoRNA:Or-aca1 snoRNA:Or-aca1